ACCUGGCUGGCUCAGUUGGUAGAGCAUGCGACUCUUGAUCUCAGGGUCAUGAGUUUGAGCCCCAUGUUCAGUG
rnacentral:tRNA from 1 species